GUUCUUUCAAUAACUUUCAUUUGGUUUAAUUACAAGCCCAUUAAAUAGAAAUACAGCUGGUUUUUGUUGGGUUUCUGUAUUUCUCUGCAGGCCUGGUGGAGGCUGCUUUCAUAUUCAUAAUCUUUGACUCUGUCUUAAAUAUUUCACAGGUUCCUUGCAGAUUAAAAAAAAAAAAAAAAAAAAUCCAGACACAUGAAUCAUUACCUAUGCUCACAUGCAGGGUACAAGGUAAUUACAGCCAGGAGAAACACGCUGACCCUUCAACCCGAAAAGCUGCUGAUGCUAAUGCAGCCCAACGAUUCAGACGCACUCAGACUGAUUUCAUAAUCUUGUUUUUGCUCAUAAACCUCGAUGCAGACGGGCCGCAGCUGGAGAAGAGAAAAUCCGCACUCAGUGUAGUUUUUAU